UUGAACGCUGGCGGCGUGCUUAACACAUGCAAGUCGAACGCGAAAGUGGCUUCGGCCACGAGUAGAGUGGCGCACGGGUGAGUAACGCGUGGAUAAUCUGCCUCUGCAAUCGGAAUAACGACUGGAAACGGUCGCUAAUACCGGAUACGCUUAAGUUUUACCUCUUAAGGAAAGAUGACCUCUAUUUAUAAGUUAUCGUGCAGAGAUGAGUCCGCGUCCCAUUAGCUUGUUGGCGGGGUAACGGCCCACCAAGGCGACGAUGGGUAGCCGAUUUAAGAGGAUGAUCGGCCACAUUGGAACUGAAACACGGUCCAAACUCCUACGGGAGGCAGCAGUGGGGAAUAUUGCGCAAUGGGCGAAAGCCUGACGCAGCGACGCCGCGUGAGGGAUGAAGGUCUUCGGAUCGUAAACCUCUGUCAGAAGGGAAAAAUGUACAGUGCCCCAAUCAACAUUGUAUUGAUGGUACCUUCAGAGGAAGCACCGGCUAACUCCGUGCCAGCAGCCGCGGUAAUACGGAGGGUGCAAGCGUUAAUCGGAAUUACUGGGCGUAAAGCGCGCGUAGGUUGUUUUGUAAGUCAGAGGUGUAAUCCCACGGCUUAACCGUGGAACUGCCUUUGAUACUGCAUAACUUGGAUCCGGGAGAGGACAGCGGAAUUCCAGGUGUAGGAGUGAAAUCCGUAGAUAUCUGGAAGAACAUCAGUGGCGAAGGCGGCUGUCUGGACCGGUAUUGACGCUGAGGCGCGAAAGCGUGGGUAGCAAACAGGAUUAGAUACCCUGGUAGUCCACGCUGUAAACGAUGGAUGCUGGAUGUCGGGGCGCAAGCUUCGGUGUCGUAGUUAACGCGAUAAGCAUCCCGCCUGGGGACUACGGUCGCAAGGCUGAAACUCAAAGAAAUUGACGGGGGCCCGCACAAGCGGUGGAGUAUGUGGUUUAAUUCGAAGCAACGCGAAGAACCUUACCAGGUCUUGACAUCCUUUGCAUAACCUAGAGAUAGGCGAAAUCCUACGGGACAAAGUGACAGGUGGUGCAUGGUUGUCGUCAGCUCGUGUCGUGAGAUGUUGGGUUAAGUCCCGCAACGAGCGCAACCCCUAUGCACAGUUGCCAGCAGGUGAAGCUGGGCACUCUGUGCAGACCGCCCGGGUUAACCGGGAGGAAGGUGGGGAUGACGUCAAGUCAUCAUGGCCCUUACACCCAGGGCGACACACGUACUACAAUGGCACAUACAAAGGGCAGCGAAACCGCGAGGUCAAGCCAAUCCCAAAAACUGUGUCCCAGUCCGGAUAGGAGUCUGCAACCCGACUCCUUGAAGUUGGAAUCGCUAGUAAUUCCGGAUCAGCAUGCCGGGGUGAAUGCGUUCCCGGGCCUUGUACACACCGCCCGUCACACCACGAAAGUCGGUUUUACCCGAAACCGGUGAGUCAACUAGCAAUAGAGACAGCCGUCUACGGUAGGACCGAUGAUUGGGGUG
rnacentral:rRNA from 1 species